rnacentral:rRNA from 1 species
AGAGUUUGAUCCUGGCUCAGGACGAACGCUGGCGGCGUGCCUAAUACAUGCAAGUAGAACGCUGAAGAGAGGAGCUUGCUCUUCUUGGAUGAGUUGCGAACGGGUGAGUAACGCGUAGGUAACCUGCCUUGUAGCGGGGGAUAACUAUUGGAAACGAUAGCUAAUACCGCAUAACAAUGGGUGACUCAUGUCAUUUAUUUGAAAGGGGCAAAUGCUCCACUACAAGAUGGACCUGCGUUGUAUUAGCUAGUAGGUGAGGUAACGGCUCACCUAGGCGACGAUACAUAGCCGACCUGAGAGGGUGAUCGGCCACACUGGGACUGAGACACGGCCCAGACUCCUACGGGAGGCAGCAGUAGGGAAUCUUCGGCAAUGGGGGCAACCCUGACCGAGCAACGCCGCGUGAGUGAAGAAGGUUUUCGGAUCGUAAAGCUCUGUUGUAAGUCAAGAACGAGUGUGAGAGUGGAAAGUUCACACUGUGACGGUAGCUUACCAGAAAGGGACGGCUAACUACGUGCCAGCAGCCGCGGUAAUACGUAGGUCCCGAGCGUUGUCCGGAUUUAUUGGGCGUAAAGCGAGCGCAGGCGGUUUGAUAAGUCUGAAGUUAAAGGCUGUGGCUCAACCAUAGUUCGCUUUGGAAACUGUCAAACUUGAGUGCAGAAGGGGAGAGUGGAAUUCCAUGUGUAGCGGUGAAAUGCGUAGAUAUAUGGAGGAACACCGGUGGCGAAAGCGGCUCUCUGGUCUGUAACUGACGCUGAGGCUCGAAAGCGUGGGGAGCGAACAGGAUUAGAUACCCUGGUAGUCCACGCCGUAAACGAUGAGUGCUAGGUGUUGGAUCCUUUCCGGGAUUCAGUGCCGCAGCUAACGCAUUAAGCACUCCGCCUGGGGAGUACGACCGCAAGGUUGAAAC